AGACCCGAAACCCGGUGAUCUAGCCAUGGGCAGGUUGAAGGUUGGGUAACACUAACUGGAGGACCGAACCGACUAAUGUUGAAAAAUUAGCGGAUGACCUGUGGCUGGGGGUGAAAGGCCAAUCAAACCGGGAGAUAGCUGGUUCUCCCCGAAAGCUAUUUAGGUAGCGCCUCGUGAAUUCAUCUCCGGGGGUAGAGCACUGUUUCGGCUAGGGGGCCAUCCCGGCUUACCAACCCGAUGCAAACUGCGAAUACCGGAGAAUGUUAUCACGGGAGACACACGGCGGGUGCUAACGUCCGUCGUGAAGAGGGAAACAACCCAGACCGCCAGCUAAGGUCCCAAAGUCAUGGUUAAGUGGGAAACGAUGUGGGAAGGCCCAGACAGCCAGGAUGUUGGCUUAGAAGCAGCCAUCAUUUAAAGAAAGCGUAAUAGCUCACUGGUCGAGUCGGCCUGCGCGGAAGAUGUAACGGGGCUAAACCAUGCACCGAAGCUGCGGCAGCGACACUGUGUGUUGUUGGGUAGGGGAGCGUUCUGUAAGCCUGUGAAGGUGGCCUGUGAGGGUUGCUGGAGGUAUCAGAAGUGCGAAUGCUGACAUAAGUAACGAUAAAGCGGGUGAAAAGCCCGCUCGCCGGAAGACCAAGGGUUCCUGUCCAACGUUAAUCGGGGCAGGGUGAGUCGACCCCUAAGGCGAGGCCGAAAGGCGUAGUCGAUGGGAAACGGGUUAAUAUUCCCGUACUUGGUGUUACUGCGAAGGGGGGACGGAGAAGGCUAUGUUGGCCGGGCGACGGUUGUCCCGGUUUAAGCGUGUAGGUGUGUGUUCCAGGUAAAUCCGGUUCACUUUAACACUGAGGC
rnacentral:rRNA from 1 species